UUAACAAUCCCAGGUGAUGUGUGUGCA
rnacentral:piRNA from 1 species